AUUGAACGCUGGCGGCAGGCCUAACACAUGCAAGUCGAGCGGAUGAAGGGAGCUUGCUCCUGGAUUCAGCGGCGGACGGGUGAGUAAUGCCUAGGAAUCUGCCUGGUAGUGGGGGAUAACGUCCGGAAACGGGCGCUAAUACCGCAUACGUCCUGAGGGAGAAAGUGGGGGAUCUUCGGACCUCACGCUAUCAGAUGAGCCUAGGUCGGAUUAGCUAGUUGGUGGGGUAAAGGCCUACCAAGGCGACGAUCCGUAACUGGUCUGAGAGGAUGACCAGUCACACUGGAACUGAGACACGGUCCAGACUCCUACGGGAGGCAGCAGUGGGGAAUAUUGGACAAUGGGCGAAAGCCUGAUCCAGCCAUGCCGCGUGUGUGAAGAAGGUCUUCGGAUUGUAAAGCACUUUAAGUUGGGAGGAAGGGCAGUAAGUUAAUACCUUGCUGUUUUGACGUUACCAACAGAAUAAGCACCGGCUAACUUCAUG
rnacentral:rRNA from 1 species